rnacentral:tRNA from 1 species
GGAUUGUGGCUCAGUGGUAGAGCACUUGCCUUGUUCAUGUGAGGCACUGGGUUCGAUUCUCAGCACCA